GUCGAGUUCAGUAACGCGGGCUUGUGAUCCAAGUGGAGACUACAAGGUGUUGGAAUGUUGGACCGAUUUCAUUGGGCCGGGUUCGAUUUGGGCUUUCUACUCGCCUGCCCAUUCCAAGCUGAGAGUUGAAGGUUCGGACCUAAGCGAAGGCUUGUGGUUCAGACUUUCUUAGAGCGGAGGAGACUGCGUGAGGCUGGUUUCACAGAGCAGCGUCCACCUCCCGCUCUUGGUAGUAUCCUUAGGAUAACGGGCCGGUGCCUUCCGAGCCCACUAUGACCCAAUAAGCCGAUCUCAAUUAAACCAUUUCAUAG
rnacentral:SRP_RNA from 1 species